AACCAUUUCUUCUUCUACCCAAAACAGCACUGAAAGGAAAAGAAGCAGAAAACAAGGAAGUUUGCUGGAGAAGAGAUGCUAUUAACAGCAGCUGGACCAGGGAUGAGAAAGGUGCACUGGAAGUGAUCAGGAGUGUGUUAGAGAAGAGGACUAAUCAAUUAGAAUUAACGACUGGAGGAUGUAAAAGCUUCAGGGCCACAUGGGAGCCAUUUCAGAAUAUGAAUGAAAGCAACAGCAGAAGAAAACUUCAGAUGUUGAUGAAUAUAAAAAUCUCACUGGAGACCUGUGGACUGGAUCAUCUGAAAGUCAUAAUACACACACUAGGGAGUUCUUGGAAAGGUGUGUGGGAUCCGGGAACUCCAGCUGGGUCUCCAUGUGAAGGCAUCGAGUGAGGUGGAACACGAAAGCAUUGGAUGCAGGUGUCGCCGUGGAUGUAGUCUUUCUGGACUUCAGCAAGGCCUUUGACACUGUCUCCC